UACGAAGGGGGCUAGCGUUGUUCGGAUUUACUGGGCGUAAAGCGCACGUAGGCGGAUUGUUAAGUCAGGGGUGAAAUCCUGGAGCUCAACUCCAGAACUGCCUUUGAUACUGGCAAUCUCGAGUCCGGAAGAGGUGAGUGGAACUCCUAGUGUAGAGGUGGAAUUCGUAGAUAUUAGGAAGAACACCAGUGGCGAAGGCGGCUCACUGAUCCGGUACUGACGCUGAGGUGCGAAAGCGUGGGGAGCAAACAGG
rnacentral:rRNA from 1 species